rnacentral:lncRNA from 1 species
AAGCAGGCAUCAGAUGCAGCAUUGGCUAAAAAUUGGAUUACAAAUGCGUUUGCGAAUUGCAAACCAAACUAGCAAUUAAACUAAACAUACGUAGUCUCAUUGAGAUUCACCCCUUCAUUUCUUAAAACAUCUUUGACCAAUCUAAAGCAUACAUAAGAGAUUUACUAAUACAGUAAGACCAAAUCACGUUAGCUCAUAUUUUAGACUUGUAAUCGACCAACAUGACCUUGUUUCAUUCAUUUACCUUGUUCAGGGUUAUCUCUGAACUCUGUUUAAAUCAAAUACUACAGUUCUUGUAAAUAAAUUUUGAACCAUGUUAGAUACAGCUCAUAAUUAAGGAUGUUAAGCUUAACAAGACAACAUAACGAGCUAGACCAAAUUUCAUAUAGUUUUUCUACAAAUUUACUAUGAGUUUGAUUUAUAUCUAAAAAUUGAAGAGUACGCAAGGUGAACUAUGCUAGAUUUAGAGUUCAAAUCGGUUAUACUACGGUUACUAAAUUUGAUCAACAAAACAACAAAAAUAAGGAAAAGUUGUAUAGACAAAUCAAACUAGGGGCGAUCCGUAAUGCAAGCCCACAACAACACAAAAGAACAACAAAUCGUCGUUUUAUUUUUUAUUUUUUAUUUUUUUUUAGAAGAAAUAACUUUAUUGAUACUAAAAAAAUUACUGCAUAAUAAAAUGACCGGUUGUGAUAGCUACAUCACAACACACAUUCUCAUAAAAAUCUGUAGUUACGGGUUCAUCGCUAAUAACAACUAUCCAUGAACAACAAAUCCUCAUUGUAUCAUCAACCUCACUAGAAACUAAAGUUGCAUGACAUGUGCUCAAAGAUAGAUCGUAAAACAAAAAACAAUUACACAAAUAUGAUUUACGUUCUAUAACUAAGUAGCUAACCCGAUUUAACUACGAAAAAUGAAGAUUAUUCUAUAGAAACAAGUAGAGAAUUGAACCCUAGACUUGGUGCAUUGUGUUUGCAACCUUCAAGUCUUCCAAUGGUGUUGUUUUUUGAGGGGGGAAGGCAUGUGCGGCAAUGCAAAGGGCAGGAGGGUUCAAACUGUUCAACGCCGUGGUCCGCCAUCCGCAGCAUCCAGAACAUCCGCCACAUCUUCCGUGUCUCCACGACACCAAAGUCCACGUGGAACACGAUCAGGUCCACAGUUCCCUCCCUUUUCGUGCCUCUCAUGUCGUUUUAUAUUCUCCCUUGUCUUGUAGUUUGGUCUCCCAUUAGGCAGUGACAUUCUAUUCUAUUGUUUAGAAUAUUAAUAUAUUCUUCCUAAACUAGAUUAAGCUGGCAUCUCUUGUCUCUUUACCACUUCUCUAGCUAGCUUGUUCAAGCUUUUGUCUCUUCUACCAAACUUUUUUUUUGUGGUCUGUUUUUAUCAAACUUCUCCGAAACAAAAAAGAUUUCUAAUAAUUCUCUCUGAGGAGAAAUGGAAAAAUAUCCCCCAAAACUGUCUAUUAGUUAAAAAGAAGGAAAUCCUACAUAUUCCUAAUAACCACUUUCUCAAUUUCUAGUAAAAUGAGGAAGAUCUAAUAAAUGAUUUAUGAAUUUCUUUACUCCACAAUAAUUGUUUUAAGAGAGAAAAAGAGACAAGAUUUUAGUCGGUAGUGACAUUAUUAAAAGAAUAUUGCAUUGUAUGGAUAAAUUGUCUUCAAAUUUAAUUAAAUAGCCCAAAUGAAAAACAAAUCAGUCCAUAUGGGUCCGGACCCAAUUUUUAGUUCUUGGUAUUGACUUGUUGUGUUUAGAAAGGAUGGAGCUAAUACAGUAAUUUUGUAUUCUUGGUAAACUUGAACUAAUUCUGAGG